CCUGGGCCGCCCCAUAUACCGCUACUAGAGCCCAUAGAAAACCGUCACUUUUGGAGUGCAGCCUAUACUUAACUACAAACUCCCCACCACCAUUUCGCGUACCUGAAGUGACUCACAUCGCACCCCAAGUAAGAUCCCACCGGAUCUUCCUCUUGGGGGGAGACAGUGCCAGUCAAAGUCCACUCCAGCGGAUAAGUUUUUCAGGAACUGUGGUGUGAAAGUAUCGCGACCAGUUUCCAUUAGCGCAAUAAAAUCUAACUUAUACUCUACCGCAGCUUCCGCAAGAAAUCUAAUUUUAGCCAAGUCUCUCAGACCUCUGCUAUUCCAAAAGAUCCCUCUCAUCUUUCAUCAUAGAAUUUUUUAGCAGUCUUAAAACAUGCACUCCUACGCACUGCCGAAACC
rnacentral:lncRNA from 1 species